rnacentral:lncRNA from 1 species
UUGGAAUCUUCUGAACAAUUGAGUAACUUGUAGCCAUUCCAAUGCCACCUCGCUGUUGCUUCCAGUUGGCUGUGUUAGAAUUUGACUGUAUAUUAGAGGGCAGACCACCAGCCACUUGAGAGUUUCCCUCAGCUUGGUUAGAAACGGUGCCAUCGGUCACUUGUCCUUGCCAAUUUGGAGAUGAUGAACUCUCUUGAGAUUGGGAACUUCCAGAAUAUCCCCAACCUUUUCUUCUAUUAAACUGCCCAGCUGCAGCCAUCUUACUUAAAGGUGAUCCUUGACAACUGUUUCGUGCGGGAGAAGUAGGACCAUAGUGUCCAGGAGAGCCACCUGAAACUUGACCAUAGGAGUUUGGAGG